rnacentral:rRNA from 1 species
CCUACGGGAGGCAGCAGUAGGGAAUCUUUCACAAUGGGCGAAAGCCUGAUGGAGCAACGCCGCGUGCAGGAUGAAGGCCUUCGGGUUGUAAACUGCUUUUAUAAGCGAGAAAUAUGAUGGUAACUUAUGAAUAAGGAUCGGCUAACUACGUGCCAGCAGCCGCGGUCAUACGUAGGAUUCGAGCAUUAUCCGGAGUGACUGGGUGUAAAGAGUUGCGUAGGUGGCAUAAUAAGUAGCUAGGGAAAUCUGGUGGCUCAACCAUUCAGACUAUUAGCUAAACUGUUAAGCUCGAGACCGUUAGGAGUAACUGGAAUUUCUAGUGUAGGAGUGAAAUCCGUAGAUAUUAGAAGGAACCCCAAUAGCGUAGGCAGGUUGCUGGGACGGUUCUGACACUAAGGCACGAAAGCGUAGGGAGCAAACGGGAUUAGAUACCCCUGUAGUC